rnacentral:rRNA from 1 species
GUGCCAGCAGCCGCGGUAAUACGUAGGGCGCAAGCGUUGUCCGGAAUUAUUGGGCGUAAAGAGCUUGUAGGUGGCUUGUCGCGUCUGCCGUGAAAACCCGAGGCUCAACCUCGGGCGUGCGGUGGGUACGGGCACGCUAGAGUGUGGUAGGGGAGACUGCAACUCCUGGUGUAACGGUGAUAUGCGCAGAUAUCAGGAAGAACCCGCAUGGCGAAGGCAGGUCUCUGGGCCAUUACUGACCAGAAGAGGGUAAAGGCAUGGGGAACGAACAGGAGUACAUACGCUGGUAGUCC